AAACGUACCUGGCAGGAGAGACACCACAACCAUGAACGUGGUUCUCUUACCUCCCGAGUGUGGGAUCUCUGAGUGUGCUGACUCCUGGGAUUUCCCCAAAUUUGGAAACUUGACCUCAUAAUCUCUGGUAGUGGGACUACAUUCAUGAUUUCUCUU